rnacentral:rRNA from 1 species
UAAUACGGAGGAUCCGAGCGUUAUCCGGAUUUAUUGGGUUUAAAGGGUGCGUAGGCGGCCUUUUAAGUCAGCGGUGAAAGUCUGUGGCUCAACCAUAGAAUUGCCGUUGAAACUGGGGGGCUUGAGUAUGUUUGAGGCAGGCGGAAUGCGUGGUGUAGCGGUGAAAUGCUUAGAUAUCACGCAGAACCCCGAUUGCGAAGGCAGCCUGCCAAGCCAUGACUGACGCUGAUGCACGAAAGCGUGGGGAUCAAACAGGAUUAGAUACCCUGGUAGUCCACGCAGUAAACGAUGAUUACUAGCUGUUUGCGAUACACAGUAAGCGGCACAGCGAAAGCGUUAAGUAAUCCACCUGGGGAGUACGCCGGCAACGGUGAAACUCAAAGGAAUUGACGGGGGCCCGCACAAGCGGAGGAACAUGUGGUUUAAUUCGAUGAUACGCGAGGAACCUUACCCGGGUUUGAACGCAUUCGGACCGAGGUGGAAACACCUUUUCUAGCAAUAGCCGUUUGCGAGGUGCUGCAUGGUUGUCGUCAGCUCGUGCCGUGAGGUGUCGGCUUAAGUGCCAUAACGAGCGCAACCCUUGCCACUAGUUACUAACAGGUAAAGCUGAGGACUCUGGUGGGACUGCCAGCGUAAGCUGCGAGGAAGGCGGGGAUGACGUCAAAUCAGCACGGCCCUUACAUCCGGGGCGACACACGUGUUACAAUGGCGUGGACAAAGGGAAGCCACCUGGCGACAGGGAGCGAAUCCCCAAACCACGUCUCAGUUCGGAUCGGAGUCUGCAACCCGACUCCGUGAAGCUGGAUUCGCUAGUAAUCGCGCAUCAGCCAUGGCGCGGUGAA